UACGUAGGGUGCGAGCGUUAAUCGGAAUUACUGGGCGUAAAGCGUGCGCAGGCGGUUUUGUAAGCCAGAUGUGAAAUCCCCGGGCUUAACCUGGGAAUGGCAUUUGGGACUGCAAGGCUUGAGUAUGGCAGAGGGGGCUAGAAUUCCUGGUGUAGCAGUGAAAUGCGUAGGUAUCAGGAGGAAUACCGAUGGCGAAGGCAGGCCCCUGGGUUAAUACUGACGCUCAUGCACGAAAGCGUGGGGAGCAAACAGG
rnacentral:rRNA from 1 species